GUGUGACACAGAUACGGGUAAGAAUAAAGAGAGAUGUCAGGGGUGAACGUCAUCGGACCCCAUCGGUGUCUGACGGCGACCGAUCACUUUGCCAAGCGGGUGGCGGCAAUUUCCAUUAAGGACGAGACUGGCGAGGCCACCUCCCAAGGCGAUGAUGACACCCACGGUUCUCCCGAGGUCAUCUUUGAGUGAAUGAUGUCAUGAACGCUGGAACAAGGUUUGGUGAAUGGACCAACCAGACCCUCAUCCAGACCCUAUAACGUACUUUCAGACCAUUGAAACACCACCUGAUGUGGUGGAAGUUGUCG
rnacentral:lncRNA from 1 species